UAUGGGAGGCAGCAGGGGGAAUAUUGCACAAUGGGCGAAAGCCUGAUGCAGCUAUGCCGCGUGUAUGAAGAAGGCCUUAGGGUUGUAAAGUACUUUCAUCGGGGAGGAAAAACAAAACUAAUAAUUUUAUUUCUUGACGUUACCCGAAAAAGAAGCACCGGCUAACUCCGUGCCAGCAGCCGCGGUAAUACGGAGGGUGCUAGCGUUAAUCAGAAUUACUGGGCGUAAAAGAGCACGUAGGUGGUUUUUUUAAAGUCAGAUGUGAAAAUCCCUGGGCUUAACCUAGGAACUGCAUUUUGAAACUGAAAUACUAGAGUAUCGUAGAGGGAGGUAGAAUUCUAGGUGUAGCGGUGAAAUGCGUAGAUAUCUGGAGGAAUACCUGUGGCGAAAGCGGCCUCCUAAACGAAUACUGACACUGAGGUGCGAAAAGCGUGGGGAGCAAAACAGGGAUUAGAUACC
rnacentral:rRNA from 1 species